rnacentral:rRNA from 1 species
GCGUUGUCCGGAUUUAUUGGGCGUAAAGAGCUCGUAGGCGGUUUGUCGCGUCGGCCGUGAAAUCUCCACGCUUAACGUGGAGCGUGCGGUCGAUACGGGCAGACUUGAGUUCGGUAGGGGAGACUGGAAUUCCUGGUGUAGCGGUGAAAUGCGCAGAUAUCAGGAGGAACACCGGUGGCGAAGGCGGGUCUCUGGGCCGAUACUGACGCUGAGGAGCGAAAGCGUG